AUAAAAUGUGUAACCUUAAAGAGAAGGGUUUAUUUCAAAAGGAUAUUAUCCGAUUUGUAAGUUAUCUGAUGCUUAUCUGACUCCUAAGUUUAAAACUUGAAAAACCAUGUCUUGAAGAUUUUUCUUACAGAGUAGCUGCUUGUCUUCCUAUUGAUGAUGUAUUGAGAAUUCAGCUCCUUAAAAUUGGCAGUGCUAUCCAACGACUUCGCUGUGAAUUAGACAUUAUGAAUAAAUGUACUUCCCUUUGCUGUAAACAAUGUCAAGAAACAGAAAUAACAACCAAAAAUGAAAUAUUCAGUUUAUCCUUAUGUGGGCCGAUGGCAGCUUAUGUGAAUCCUCAUGGAUAUGUGCAUGAGACACUUACUGUGUAUAAGGCUUGCAACUUGAAUCUGAUAGGCCGGCCUUCUACAGAACACAGCUGGUUUCCUGGGUAUGCCUGGACUGUUGCCCAGUGUAAGAUCUGUGCAAGCCAUAUUGGAUGGAAGUUU
rnacentral:sRNA from 1 species